rnacentral:lncRNA from 10 species
UAUAAAAUAGUCAUCCUAGAAACUUGAUGAUAUUCAGAGGACUAGAAGAAAAAGGAGAAAAGGUGGCCUAUGUCUUAAUAUGAGAAAAUGGAAUAUUAUUAAAUUUGAAGCAAAAUUAAGGAUUGUUAAUAAAAAACUUCCCUAUCUGUACACAUUAAAAUGGGAAAUAGAGCUUGGGCAUGCCUUUUAUACAGGAUCACUGUUACUAUAAUGUAGAGUCAACAGUGACCUAGAUUCUUUGGUGACUAUCAGCACUUAAAAGGACCUUUUAAGAACUGGACUUCGGGUCGGGUGCAGUGGCUCAUGCCUGUAAUCCCAGCACUUUGGGAGGCCGAGGCGGGUAGAUCACCUGAGGUCAGGAGUUCAAGACCAGCCUGACCAACAUACCUCAAACAAAUUUGAACAUAUGGUUUACAGCAUAUCUUGAAAUCAGGAUUCAGAGCAGAAUAGAGCCCAGACCACAUGCCCCAUAUAUGGUUGUUUCCCAAAUAUGUAGAAAUGUUUAUUGUGGUUGACAAUAAGUGGUUACAAAUGUGGAAUAAUAUAAUGUGACCAACAUUACACAGAUGGUAACAGAUGUUCACACGCUGGCCAAGUGAUACAAUAAGGAGCUAAAUAAUACUUACUGGUUAGAUAUAUGGACUAGUUGGAGAUACGGACAGAGAGAAGGCUAGUGCAAAUGCCCCUGAAUCUGCAGAAAAUGUUUCAAAAUUUUAACUGCGGAGAGACCAGCUGGCACCCCUUCAGAAAGGUGAAACAUGUUGUUGCUCAUAUUUGGACCAUUGGUCAAAAUCCUGGAAAGUACCAGGGCUAUGCAUUUCUCAGUUGUAUCUGUAGAGCUAAGAAUACAAUGAGUGUUGAAUCUUUCUUUCAUGAAGAUAUACCCCACUUUGCAGCUCUCAUAGCUCAUGAGCUUGGCCACAGCUUGGAUAUGAAACAUGACUAUAUGGCCUACAAGUGUCAUGGCCAGAACCUUUGUAUUAUGCAUAAAUUUAUUACUAUAGAUAUGGGCUUCAGCAACUGAAGCUUCCACUGAUUCCAUUAGUUUUUGCAUAGGCACAGAGAAGACUGUUUAAUAAACUUGAGCACCAAAUCUCCUUUGGAAAGCCAUAUUGUGGGGACAAGAUAGUGAUGAAGGAGAAGAAUGCAAGUGUGGCAUUCUUUGAUUGUGAAAGAAUCCCUCUCAUUGAUUGUGAAAGGGAUCACUGUUGUCUGCCCUCACAAUAGCUGAAGAAGGGUUCAGAUUGUGCAUUUGGAUUCUGUAGCAGACACUGCAAAUUUCCAAGAGCAACCACACCCUGCUGCCUCAGUGGAGGUGAAUAUGACCUCUGAGAGUACUUUAAUGGCACCUCCGAGUGGUGCCACACAGAUAUAUACAAGGAAGAUGGUAUCCCUUGCAAAGAACAAGGUUAUUGUUACCAGGGCCAGUGCAGAAGCCUAGAGAAUCAGUGCAUUAAAAUCUCUGGAAAGGGCAAAUGAGCUGCUUGGAAAAAUUAUCAUUACCAAGGGGGAUAGGUUUGGAAACUGGCAGUGAGUCUAAAGGAUUGUUUAAAGUCUUCAGGAACUACAAGGCCAAAUAUGUAAGAUGUGAGAGACUGCUAUGUGAAAACAUCUAAAGAUCCCAUAAACUGAAAAACAUCAAACACCCAUUUUCCCAUGCAGGACAUGUAGUGUUGGAGUAUAAACAGGGCUGACGAGGGGGAGGUAAAAGAUAGUCCAUAUGGUCCACAAAAGAUCUGUAUCAAUCAUUCCUGCUUAGAUACCACUGUACUCCACUAUGACUGCAACCUGGACAAGUGUCAUGGGAGGGUUGUUUGCAACAAUUUUAAGAACUAGCACUUGUCUACAACUAUGCCCCUCCUACAUGAGAAUUUAAGGGUUAGGAGGUAGUCUAACAGUGGCCCAGCUCCACAUAUCCCCUCUGACUCUCAGUAUGACAAAAAGCUGAUAAUCCUAAUUCAAGUCUUAUCUAGCCGCUUAUUAUUUCUCAUUCCUACUAU